rnacentral:rRNA from 1 species
GCAAGUCGAGGGGCAGCGAGAUCAGUGCUUGCACUGAUUGUCGGCGACCGGCGCACGGGUGCGUAACGCGUAUGCAACCUACCCAUUACAGGGGGAUAACACUGAGAAAUCGGUACUAAUACCCCAUAACAUCACCGGAGGCAUCUUCGGUGGUUGAAAACUCCGGUGGUAAUGGAUGGGCAUGCGUUGUAUUAGUUAGUUGGUGGGGUAACGGCUCACCAAGACAACGAUACAUAGGGGGACUGAGAGGUUAACC